rnacentral:rRNA from 1 species
GAGGAAUAUUGGUCAAUGGGCGAGAGCCUGAACCAGCCAAGUAGCGUGCAGGAUGACGGCCCUAUGGGUUGUAAACUGCUUUUGUAUGGGGAUAAAGUCAAUCACGUGUGAUUGUUUGCAGGUACCAUACGAAUAAGGACCGGCUAAUUCCGUGCCAGCAGCCGCGGUAAUACGGAAGGUCCGGGCGUUAUCCGGAUUUAUUGGGUUUAAAGGGGGCGUAGGCUGGAGAUUAAGUGUGUUGUGAAAUGUAGACGCUCAACGUCUGACUUGCAGCGCAUACUGGUUUCCUUGAGUACGCACAACGUUGGCGGAAUUCGUCGUGUAGCGGUGAAAUGCUUAGAUAUGACGAAGAACUCCGAUUGCGAAGGCAGCUGACGGGAGCGCAACUGACGCUGAAGCUCGAAGGUGCGGGUAUCGAACAGGAUUAGAUACCCUGGUAGUCCGCACAGUAAACGAUGGAUGCCCGCUGUUGGUACCUGGUAUCAGCGGCUAAGCGAAAGCAUUAAGCAUCCCACCUGGGGAGUACGCCGGCAACGGUG